CGGAUUGUAGGCUGCAACUCGCCUACAUGAAGUUGGAAUCGCUAGUAAUCGCGAAUCAGAAUGUCGCGGUGAAUACGUUCCCGGGUCUUGUACACACCGCCCGUCACACCACGAGAGUUUACAACACCCGAAGUCAGUGGCCUAACCGUAAGGAGGGAGCUGCCUAAGGUGAGGUAGAUGAUUGGGGUGAAGUCGUAACAAGGUAGC
rnacentral:rRNA from 1 species